UAGUGAUGUGUGCCUGUAGCCCCAGUUUUCAGGAGGCUGAGGCAGGAGAAUCGCUUGAACCUAGUGGGCCAGAGGUUGCAGUGAGCUGACUUUGCGCCAAUGCACUGCAGCCUCGGGAACAAAGUAAGACUGUGUCAAAAAAAAAAAAAAAAGAAAAAUUACUAAACAGAAAGCUUUGCUAAAAGACCUUCUCUGAUACUGAAUUAUCUGUGAAGGUAAUAGUGUUUAUAAUGUGAACUAAGUCUUCUGCAGUCACCUGUGACAUCAACAAUGAUCCAUGGAGACUUUGAGCAGAUUCUCUACUAUGUAAGCAGCUGGGAAAAUGACAGAGGACAAGUUUCAAAUGUCAUAUUUUACCUUUGUUUGCAUUGAGAAAAAUUCAUUGAAAUCCACCUGUAUAGCAUCUUCGUGAAUUCCUAUACUUAAAAUAAAAUUGGAAGCAAAGUUCUUCCCCCAAAUUACAAGGAAUGGAGGCUGGGAAACUACAUUUCUGAGACUCCUUCAUCAUCAGGAUGCCAGAUAAUAUUUUAAAAGCUGACUCCACCAGAGACCCGAUUCUUGAACUUUUAAUGCACAUUUGGAAAUCCCGUGUUUAGUUGGCUUAGAUUAUAAACUGCAGGAGAACAAGAAGUGUAUCAAUUAUGUUCCAGUUUCUAGGAUGUACUCUUCUAGUGGAUCCACAAGCAAAAGGGAAGAGAGGCUAUUCCGUAUACUUACUAGAAUAUAUGAGUUUUACAAAUUGGAAUGAUAGGCAUUGAUAUUGACACAUCUGGAGAAGGAGUGAUCAAAGAGAAGUGGCCCUGGAGCUCUCCCCAUGAAAAGAUUAAAUUUUUAAGAAGAUGCUGCUCACCUAAAACUUAUCAAUAAAGUCAACUAUAGUUUCCAAU
rnacentral:lncRNA from 1 species